GGGGCUGUAGUUCUGUGGUAGAGCAUCUGCCUUGAGUUUAGAAGUCUCCAGGUUCAACCUCUGGCACCUGCA